UAGCUCAGUUGGUAGAGCAGAGGACUGAAAAUCCUC
rnacentral:tRNA from 1 species